GUCUUUCGUCCUACUGUGCUGUUAUUUAAAAUUAUAACGUACCUUUUUCAAUGAGGCUCAAUUUAGGUUACACAGAAAAAUAUCGAAAAUUGCACACAUUGUACAAAGUCUCUUUCAUUUUAUCUUCAAUGCCAAUCAACGCAAUCAAAGCAAUAAAUGAGGGACGAACUUUUAUAUUUGAAUGGUGUGGUUUCUAGUGUUUCCUUUAUAGAUGAAGUUCUUGAUUGUCAAGGUCAACCGACGCCGGAGGAUGCUUGUUCACACUUAUACUUCAAUUAAUGAUGUGGCAGUAUUUCCACAAAAAUAUAUUUGGAUAUGUAAUCCCCUGCAAUGAUUCCUUAAAAACAGUUUCCAGAGUUUUGACUUGUCCAAAAAAUUUAUCAGAACUCGAAAAAGCAAUUGAAAGAAAAAGCUGCUACAAGUGGAAACACUCCUGCAAGUCUUUUGAGUAUCACUGUGUAAGCAAUGAUUGGACAAACGAGACAAUAGAAGUUUGUGCCCCGUCACUGCUGAUAAUUGGUGGAAUAUGUGCUGAGUUCAACACAGACAGAAGAAGUGUCCGUGCCAAUUAUUUUACAGAUUGCAAAAAAUCUUUCCCUGCAUGCCCAGAUUCAUAUAAUUCGACAACAUCAUAUAAAUAUUUUGGUUGUUUUUCUAACGUCACAGAAAGAAGGGUGACUACUCUGCAAAAAUAGUGUCAUCACAACAUCUACAGGAAACUUCAAAACCAAAUACAGUUGAUG